rnacentral:rRNA from 1 species
GAUGAACGCUGGCGGCGUGCUUAACACAUGCAAGUCGAACGGGAUCCCAGGAGCUUGCUCCUGGGUGAGAGUGGCGAACGGGUGAGUAAUGCGUGACCGACCUGCCCCAUACACCGGAAUAGCUCCUGGAAACGGGUGGUAAUGCCGGAUGCUCCAGUUGACCGCAUGGUCCUCUGGGAAAGAUUCAUCGGUAUGGGAUGGGGUCGCGUCCUAUCAGCUUGAUGGCGGGGUAACGGCCCACCAUGGCUUCGACGGGUAGCCGGCCUGAGAGGGCGACCGGCCACAUUGGGACUGAGAUACGGCCCAGACUCCUACGGGAGGCAGCAGUGGGGAAUAUUGCACAAUGGGCGCAAGCCUGAUGCAGCGACGCCGCGUGCGGGAUGACGGCCUUCGGGUUGUAAACCGCUUUUGACUGGGAGCAAGCCCUUCGGGGUGAGUGUACCUUUCGAAUAAGCACCGG